CUUGGUUUUAGAGGAAGGAGAAGUCGUAACAAGGUAUCCGUAGGUGAACCUGCGGAUGGAUCAUUAACACUCUAUACAUCAUCAAAUAACUUUGCGAAUUUGUUAAAGUCUUUCUCACACAGUGAACAAAACAUACGCAUCUUAUGUUGUGAUAUGGUUUUGUGUAGCUGAUGUUGUGAUGACAACACAAAUGCUAACCAAAAUAAAAAUUAAAUAUAAAUUAACCAAGACAUACAACUUUUAACAAUGGAUAUCUUGGCUCUU
rnacentral:misc_RNA from 1 species